ensembl:misc_RNA Metazoa_SRP Metazoan signal recognition particle RNA
GCUGGGUGUGGUGGUGGACACCAGUAGUCCCAGUUACUUGGGAAGCUGAGACAGGAGAAUUGCUUGAACCCAGGAGGUGGAGGUUGCAGUGAGCUGAGAUCAUGCCACUGCAAUCCUGCCUGGGUGAAAGAGCAAGACUCUGUCUCUA